GAGUUUUCAAAACAAAUGAUCUCUAUAAUUCUGCCAGGUAGGCAUAUGCUACUUUGUAGUUAAAAUUUAAUAGAGGAGGUUUGGGAAAGUCUUUCCCUCUACCAGAAGACAGUUAUCAUUAGCAUUAUCUCUAACAGCUGCACAGAGUGUAGACCAGACAUACAGAGCAGCACAACACACAGUGUGUAGACCAGACAUACAGAUCAGCACUACACACACAGUGUAGUCCAGACAUACAGAGCAGCACUACACACAGAGUAUAGACCAGACAUACAGAGCAGCACUACACACAGAGUGUAGACCAGACAUACAGAGCAGCACUACACACAGAGCAGCACUACACACAGAGUGUAGACCAGACAUACAGAGCAGCACUACACACAGAGUGUAGACCAGACAUACAGAGCAGCACAACACAGAGUGUAGACCAGACAUACAGAGCAGCACUACACACAGAGCAGCACUAUACAGAGUGUAGACCAGACAUACAGAGCAGCACUACACAGAGUGUAGACCAGACAUAUAGAGCAGCACUACACACAGGACAGCACUACACACAGAGUGUAGACCAGACAUACAGAGCAGCA
rnacentral:lncRNA from 1 species